rnacentral:rRNA from 1 species
UACAGAGGUGGCAAGCGUUGUUCGGAAUUACUGGGCGUAAAGGGCGAGUAGGUGGCCAUCUAAGUCAGACGUGAAUCCCCGGCUUAACCUGGAACUGCGUCUGAUACUGGACGCUUGAGUAUGGGAGAGGAAUGUAGAAUUCCAGGUGUAGCGGUGAAAUGCGUAGAUAUCUGGAGGAUACCGGUGGCGAAGGCGGCAUUCUGGACCAUUACUGACACUGAAUCGCGAAAGCUA